GGGGGGAGGCCGGAUCUUGGGCUGUGUCCCGGCGCCCUGUGCUCCGGGGCCUGCGCUGUUGGAUUCGCGCUCCCGCCCCGCAGCCCCCU
rnacentral:pre_miRNA from 1 species